rnacentral:rRNA from 1 species
CCUACGGGCGGCAGCAGUGGGGAAUAUUGGACAAUGGGGGCAACCCUGAUCCAGCCAUGCCGCGUGUGUGAAGAAGGCCCUCGGGUUGUAAAGCACUUUCAGUGAGGAAGAACGCCUGGUGGUUAAUACCCAUCAGGAAAGACAUCACUCACAGAAGAAGCACCGGCUAACUCCGUGCCAGCAGCCGCGGUAAUACGGAGGGUGCGAGCGUUAAUCGGAAUUACUGGGCGUAAAGCGCGCGUAGGUGGCUUGAUAAGCCGGUUGUGAAAGCCCCGGGCUCAACCUGGGAACAGCAUCCGGAACUGUCAAGCUAGAGUGCAGGAGAGGAAGGUAGAAUUCCCGGUGUAGCGGUGAAAUGCGUAGAGAUCGGGAGGAAUACCAGUGGCGAAGGCGGCCUUCUGGACUGACACUGACACUGAGGUGCGAAAGCGUGGGUAGCAAACAGGAUUAGAUAUCCGUGUAGUC